rnacentral:rRNA from 1 species
CAUGAAGCAGGGGCCCCGCAUGGGGAUAUUUGCUAAAGAUUCAUCGCUGAUAGAUAGGCAUGCGUUCCAUUAGGCAGUUGGCGGGGUAACGGCCCACCAAACCGACGAUGGAUAGGGGUUCUGAGAGGAAGGUCCCCCACAUUGGUACUGAGACACGGACCAAACUCCUACGGGAGGCAGCAGUGAGGAAUAUUGGUCAAUGGGCGUAAGCCUGAACCAGCCAAGUCGCGUGAGGGAUGAAGGUUCUAUGGAUCGUAAACCUCUUUUAUAAGGGAAUAAAGUGCGGGACGUGUCCCGUUUUGUAUGUACCUUAUGAAUAAGGAUCGGCUAACUCCGUGCCAGCAGCCGCGGUAAUACGGAGGAUCCGAGCGUUAUCCGGAUUUAUUGGGUUUAAAGGGUGCGUAGGCGGCCUUUUAAGUCAGCGGUGAAAGUCUGUGGCUCAACCAUAGAAUUGCCGUUGAAACUGGGGGGCUUGAGUAUGUUUGAGGCAGGCGGAAUGCGUGGUGUAGCGGUGAAAUGCUUAGAUAUCACGCAGAACCCCGAUUGCGAAGGCAGCCUGCCAAGCCAUGACUGACGCUGAUGCACGAAAGCGUGGGGAUCAAACAGGAUUAGAUACCCUGGUAGUCCACGCAGUAAACGAUGAUCACUAGCUGUUUGCGAUACACUGUAAGCGGCACAGCGAAAGCGUUAAGUGAUCCACCUGGGGAGUACGCCGGCAACGGUGAAACUCAAAGGAAUUGACGGGGGCCCGCACAAGCGGAGGAACAUGUGGUUUAAUUCGAUGAUACGCGAGGAACCUUACCCGGGUUUGAACGCAUUCGGACCGAGGUGGAAACACCUUUUCUAGCAAUAGCCGUUUGCGAGGUGCUGCAUGGUUGUCGUCAGCUCGUGCCGUGAGGUGUCGGCUUAAGUGCCAUAACGAGCGCAACCCUUGCCACUAGUUACUAACAGGUGAAGCUGAGGACUCUGGUGGGACUGCCAGCGUAAGCUGCGAGGAAGGCGGGGAUGACGUCAAAUCAGCACGGCCCUUACAUCCGGGGCGACACACGUGUUACAAUGGCGUGGACAAAGGGAUGCCACCUGGCGACAGGGAGCGAAUCCCCAAACCACGUCUCAGUUCGGAUCGGAGUCUGCAACCCGACUCCGUGAAGCUGGAUUCGCUAGUAAAUCGCGCAUCAGCCAUGGCGCGGUGAAUACGUUCCCGGGGCCUUUGUUACACACCGCCCGUCAAGCCAUGGGAGCCGGG